GGGGACAAAUUAAUAAAUUUAAAAAUAAUAAAAUUAAUUUUUAUAUUAAAAUUGGGGGAUUUUAGUAUUGAUAAUAGAAUUAAUUAUAAUUUUUAUAGUUUAAUAGUAUUGUAAAAGAAUUUUGAAAUAAUAUUGAAAGUAAAUUUUUUAAAAAGUAAAUUUAAUUUAUUGUAUCUUGUGUAUCAGAGUUUAUUAAAAAUUAAAAUUUUUAAAAGUUUUUCUCGAAUUAAAAAGAGAUAAUUAAUUAUUAAAGUUAUUGUAGCAAAAAUAUUUUAAAUAAUUAAUUUGAAAUGAAAUGUUAAUCGUUUUUUAAUAUAUCUAGUUUUUUUAGAAAAAAAUUUAAUUUUAAACAUGUUUUAUAAAAUAAAUAAUUAUAAAAAUAUUUAUUUUAAAAUAUAAUUUUAUAUAUUAGGGGAUAAGCUUUAAUUUAAAAUUUUAUAAUUAUUAUUAAAAUAAAUAAAAAAAUAAUUUUAAAGAUUUAUAGAAUUUAUAUUGUUAAUAAAUUAUAAUUUAUUAUAAAUAAUCUUAUAAAUAAAUAUAAAAUUUAAUAUAAAAUUUAAAUAUUUAUAAAAAAAUUAAUAAUAAUAUUAAUAUAUUAAGUUAUAAUGAUAAAAUUAGUAUAAAUUUGUAUAUUAUUUAAAUUAAUAUUAAAUUAUAUGUAAAAUAAUUUAAAAGAAUUCGGCAAAUAUAUAUAUUCACUUGUUUAUCAAAAACAUGUCUUUUUGAAAUAAUAAUUUAAAGUCUAGUCUGCCCACUGAUUAAAUUAUUAAAGGGCUGCAGUAUUUUGACUGUACAAAGGUAGCAUAAUCAAUAGUCUUUUAAUUGAUGACUUGUAUGAAAGAUUGGAUGAAAUAUAAACUGUUUCUAAUUUAAUUUUUAGAAUUUAAUUUUUUAAUUAAAAAGUUAAAAUAAAUGUAAAAGACGAGAAGACCCUAUAGAGUUUUAUAAUUGUUUAUAUUAAAAUUUUAUAUUAAAUUUAUAUUAAAAUAUAAUUAAUUAUUUUAUUGGGGUGAUAAAAAAAUUAAAUUAACUUUUUUUAAUAAAAAUCAUAAAUAAGUGAAUAAAUGAUCCAAAAUUUUUGAUUAAAAGAAAAAAUUACCUUAGGGAUAACAGCGUAAUUUUUUUUUUUAGUUCUUAUAAAAAAGAAAGUUUGCGACCUCGAUGUUGGAUUAAGAUAAAAUAUAAAUGCAAAAGUUUAAAAUUUUGAUCUGUUCGAUCAUUAAAAUCUUACAUGAUCUGAGUUCAAACCGGUGUGAGCCAGGUUGGUUUCUAUCUUUAUUAAGUUGUUAUAUUUUAGUACGAAAGGAAUAAAUAUUAAAAUUAAAUUUAAAUUAAGAAUUUUAUUAAAUUUAUUAUGAAAUAAAUAAUUUUUUUUAUAGAUUAAA
rnacentral:rRNA from 1 species